rnacentral:lncRNA from 1 species
CCUCAGAAUUGAAAGGGGGCCUUGGAGAUUACCAGCUCCAACCCAUUCCGCUUAGAGUGGAGACAGCUGAGCAACAGGAGGUUACCUUCCUAUGCCAAGACUGAAAAUAGCGAAUAACGGAGCUAAGAUCCAAGCCGAGGGCGUCUGCCUGUGAACUAAGUAUUUGUAUCACCCAGGGCUGCCUCCCAGUCAACUUAGAACUUCACUGUGUGGGGUGGAGGGACUGCUUAAUGCGCUCCCUCAGGAAAAUGGCAGAGGAUAGCCAAAGACGCAACAUUGAAUCCAUAACAGGCUGCGGAUUUGUGAAGGAAUGGACUUGCUCCCCCACCUGCCCCCACCUCCCCAAAGCCUGCUGGACAUCUUGGGCCUGCCAGAAUGCAGAAGAAGGGAGACUGCGCACUGUGUCCUCAGAGCACAUCCCACAGCAAAUCAUCUGUUCUUAUCACAGGAACUAUAACGUCCACGAAAGCAGGAAUUUGGGGCAGUUGCAUCUCUUUUGUUCACUGAUGUCUCCCAAGUGCCUGGAAGAGUGCUUGACACAUGCCCGAGAACUUGCGAACCAAGGUUGGCAUGAGACACACCUGUAAUGGAAAUCUGCCCGACCUAGUCCUCGCCUCGCUCUUUUCUCCACCGCCAGCCAUUCUGCCAUCACCUGCCAAGGGCCUGUCAUCUGUCAGUCACCAGGGACUGAAGAAUCAGAGGUGAAUGAGACGCCAGACCUGCCUUAGGGGAACCCACAGUCUAGGGGGUCUAGAAGGGUGAUUAGGACAGCUCUUCUAUCUCCAGAGGCAAUACAGGAUCAAGAGCUAGAAAAGGCGCACUGGGGGCAUAAUAAUCCAGGAAGAGGGAAUGUGGUGAAACAAGUCAGAGGGGAGAAAGAGCGACUUUGUCUGGCAUGGCUGGAAUGAAGAUCACCUGUGGAGGGGAAGGGAGUGACACAGCUGGUGAGCCAGGCUGAAGGGUCGGGACUGUAUCCUGUAUGUGGUGGGGAACUUCUGGAAGGCUGUAUGCGGGGUCGGCUAUUUAGGAUUAAUAUGGAAGCACGCUGUAGGUGGAUGGGUGAGCCAGGAG